CCCCGAGGACUGGAAUUGGGAAACACUGACUGAGGGCACCCAAGUCAAAAGAUGCAAAGUUUGCUCAUACCACAGGCCGGCUCUGCUCAAUGUGCAUCUCUUUUCUUUCCAGUUUCAUCAAGAGCUUUGGAGACGAUUGAGAUUUGGACUGUUUGCAGGUCAUGCUUUUGGUCAUGCUUAUUUUUCCCAGCACAAAUUUUAAAAUGCUCUUUGCUCAGUGUAUUUCAACAGAUGGAUGUCCUGCUGGUUUCAAGCUUCCUAUCAAUCAGCCAGCUGCCACAGCUUCUUAUGAUUAGCAAGUAUUCACUUUGAAUUGGAGCCUUAGUGACACAAAUAAACCUGCAGAGGAACGUACAAGGCCUUGAACAGCCACAUUACAAGAUAAAAGCAGCGACCCGACCUGUGCCCGAUUCAGUCUUGGUAUCAGAGAAGUGCGGCAGUGUUUGAGGGAUUAUCCACAGUCGAACAGGAAAGAUUUGCAGCUAAUCUUUUUUGGAAUGCCCACUCAAGAGAAGUUGAGGGGAAGUGGUUGGGACCAAAGGUUUGUUCCUCCUGGAAGCUGGUACUCACAGCAGUCAGGGCUAAACGAUGACUAAGUCUGUUUACAGCUUGUUCCCUCUUACAGCAUCAGGGAACUGAAGUCAUGUGCUGUCCUGGAUUUAAAAAAA